UAACUUGCCUGCAUGAUCGAGUGGUAUA
rnacentral:sRNA from 1 species